rnacentral:tRNA from 1 species
UAUAUUUUAGUGUAAGAAGCACAUUAAUUUUUGAUGUUAAUAGAUUUAGUUUAAUUCUAAAAGAUAUAAU